AAUUUUGGACAAUGGGCGCAAGCCUGAUCCAGCCACGCCGCGUGAGGGAGGAAGGCUUCCGGGUGGUAAAGCUCUUUCGGACGGAAAGAAAUCGCGCAGGCUAAUACCCCGCGCGGAUGACGGUACCGCCAUAAGAAGCACCGGCUAACUAUGUGCCAGAAGCCGCUGUAAUACGUAGGGUGCGAGCGUUAAUCGGAAUUACUGGGCGUAAGGCGUGCGCAGGCGGUUGAUUAAGACAGGCGUGAACUCCCCGGGCUUAACCUGGGAACUGCGCUUGUGACUGGUCAGCUAGAGUACGGCAGAGGGGGGUGGAAUUCCACGUGUAGCGGUGAAAUGCGUAGAGAUGUGGAGGAACGCCGAUGGCGAAGGCAGCCCCCUGGGCCGAUACUGACGCUCAUGCACGAAAGCGUGGGUAGCAAACAGG
rnacentral:rRNA from 1 species